GCACUUGAUGCGAAGGAACCAGACAGUCAUCCGCUUGCAAAUACAUGUCCUUCCUUAACCGGUAGGCUGUAUAAGUAAGCACUUUACCUUGAGAAAAACAGAGUGUUCCAGACAGGUUUGUCCGGAAUGCGUUAGCAUGGAAUAAUAGAAUAUGACUGAAGUCGAUUUAUUGGUUUAAGGCUUUAGUAAUGAUUAAUAGGAACAAUCGGGGGCAUUGGUACUUGUCAGUCAGAGGUGAAAUUCUAGGAUUUGACAAAGACUAACUGAUGCGAAAGCGUUUGCCAAGAAUGUUUUCAUUAAUCAAGAACGAAAGUUAGGGGGAUCAAAGACGAUCAGAUACCGUCCUAGUCUUAACUAUAAACUAUACCGACUCGGAUUCAGAUGAAUAUUAAAGUUCAUUUGGGACCGUAGGAGAAAUCAAAGUCUUUGGGGUUCUGG
rnacentral:rRNA from 1 species